GCAAGUCGAACGGUAAGGUCCCGCUUUCGGGAUACACGAGUGGCGCACGGGUGAGUAACUCGUAUGCAACCUACCUUUAACUGGAGGAUAGCCCCGAGAAAUCGGGAUUAAUACUUCAUAAUGAUAUAAAACGACAUCGUUUAAUAUUUAAAGCUCCGGCGGUUAAAGAUGGGCAUGCGUGACAUUAGAUAGUUGGUGAGGUAACGGCUCACCAAGACCACGAUGUCUAGGGGUUCUGAGAGGAUUAUC
rnacentral:rRNA from 1 species